rnacentral:rRNA from 1 species
AAGACCACUAAACGUUGUAAAGUACUAAGCUCGGGGAUAAUAAUGACGGUACCCGAGUAAAAAGCCCUGACUAACUUCGUGCCAGCAGUCGCGGUAAAACGGAGAGGGCAAGUGUUAUUCGUAUUGACUGGGUGUAAAGGGUACGUAGGCGGUUAUUUAAGUUAUAAAAAAAAGCUAUAUCUUUUUAUAAUACUAUAUGACUAGAGUUAAAAAGGGGAUGGCGGUACCUCCAGUUUAGAAGUGACAUUCGUUUGAGAUUGGGGGGACCAACAAUAGGCGACGGCUGCUUUCCAUUUUUAUACUGACGCUGAGGUACGAAAGCAUGGGGAGCGAACAGGAUUAGAGACCCUGGUAGUCCAUGCCCUGACCUAUGAAUAUUAAUCGUCCAUUUAGAUAGUGGAUGACUAAGCUAACGCGAAAAUAUUCCACCUGAGGACUACGGCCGCAAGGUUAAAACUCAAAGAAAUUGGCGGAAGAUCGUUUAAGCGGUGGAGUAUGUGGUUUAAUUCGAUAAUACGCGAAAAACCUUACCAAUCUUUGUGCACAUUUUCGGUUAUACAAAACUCGUAGUCUGGAUUGAGGUGGUCAAUUUGGACUAAUUAUGUGCCAGGCGUUGCAUGGCUGUCGUAAGCUCGUGUCUUAGGAUGUGUGGUUAACUCCAUGAACGGGCGCAACCCUUGUUCCUAAUUAGAUUAGGAAUGAAAACAGUGAAAACUGCUUUUGAGGAUGAGGAGUAUGUCAAGUCAAUAUGACCUUUAUAGAUUGGGCUACACACGUACUACAACGGUAGCUACAAUGAGAAACAAUGCCGUGAGGCGGAGUAAAUCUCUAAAAUCUACCCUAGUUCGGAUUAUUUUUUGAAAUAAAAAUAUGAAGCCGGAAUCGCUAGUAAUCGCAAAAAAGAAUGUUGCGGUGAAUAUUAAGACCGAUCUUAGUACACACCGCCCGUCACGCCAUGGAAGCUUGUUUGGUUUGAAGAUAUUAAGUCACAUGUUUCGAAGUGAUUAUUCCUUAAUAAGUUCAUGUUAUGUGUGUUACUGGUAUCGACAAUUAUAA